rnacentral:rRNA from 1 species
CAGCAGCCGCGGGAAAACGGAGGGUGCAAGCGUUAUCCGGAUUCACUGGGUCUAAAGGGUGCGUAGGCGGAUUCUUAAGUCCGUGGUGAAAUCUCCAAGCUUAACUUGGAAACUGCCAUGGAUACUAUUAGUCUUGAAUGUUGUGGAGGUUAGCGGAAUAUGUCAUGUAGCGGUGAAAUGCAUAGAUAUGACAUAGAACACCAAUUGCGAAGGCAGCUGGCUACACAAAUAUUGACGCUGAGGCACGAAAGCAUGGGGAUCAAACAGGAUUAGAUACCCGCGUAGUCCCUGUCUCUUAUAC